ncrna:unclassified sequences L13-Bacteroidia ribosomal protein leader
GGGGAUACACUUAGAGUCCCCAGUACAGGAGUGUUAAUAGCGGUGUCUUUGGCCGGGCACGGUGGUUAGUGAAUC